UGGGUUGUGAAAUAUAUAAUUUUUUGAUAGGACAUUUCAGAUUAUAACAUAUUUCAGGCAGCAUGCAGGAAAAGUCAUUUAUUGUACAUUUGUUAGGACGCACUUCACACAAAGCUUCCAUUGUUUGGUCAUUAGAUCAGUAUUAUAGAAAUAUUUGAAAUAAUAUUAUGGUUGAAAUCAGCAGUUGUAUUCACUGGCUGAGAGCAUAUCUGGUAAAAAUAAAACUCUCUGAAUUCAUUCAUUGACAAAAUGCACAGUCAUCAUAAACUAAAUUCGUUCAAAAUUGUUUUUCCACAAUUAAUUCUCAUUUAUUGGUGAUAUAGCAGCUGCAGGGAAUCUGAAUUCUGAGAGCUGGUUUUACAUAAUAGCAGAAAUUUAUUCUUCUGGGAAUCACGUGAUUACAACAAAGAUGUUUAUCAUUUGAAAUCACAUAUUAUAACAACGGUGCUGUACAGACAUCACAAAUAUUUGGUGUCUCCAAGUCUUAACAAAUAUUAUGCUGUGGUUAUUUCACAAAGAGACUAGAUUAACAGGCAGUGUAAAUCACAUAUAUCUUAAUAUUUUAAAAAUACAUUUUGUACAAUACGCUUCUCAUUUCUUCACUAGCAUUUCCUUUGGGUGCUUUUUUGUCUUUAUACUUACAGUCCUUAGAGAAACUGUGAGUCUCUGGCUCGUGCCAAGAAAGUCAAUAGGAUUGAUAUUUUCCCACAAGAAUAUGGCUGAGUGUACGUUGAAUCACACAGUCAACAAAGCAACAUUAACUUGUAACAGAUUCUUUUUAAAAUUCAAAUAAAAUCUAAUUGUUUUAAAAGACAGUAGUUUGAACAAAACUCUAGUAAUCAAAAUUUUUAUUUACAAAACAUUUGAAUAUAUUUUUAAAUGGCUAGUUCUUGCUAACUGCACAGAUUAAAUAUCCUUGAUGCACACAGUCUGUUAACAUCUUGUGCAACAUUUCAGGCCUUUAAGUUAUAUGAAAUGGUUAGACGAGAAAAUUAAAUAGCCAUUUCCAUCCACUCAAAGUGCUUUAAGGGGAGCAUUUUAAUGCUUCCCAUGUUAGACAACAUCUGCUGUUACUGUUGGUACCUCUAACUGUAAAGACCAGCUGAAAUUCCCAAAAUGCAUAAUGCAGUAUAAGAAUUGGAGGAAAGAGUGAUAAGUUUACCGUAAAAUAUUAGAAUUCAAAUAUAGCUUGAUGUUGUUGACCCAAGACACCAUACCUCUCCUAUUCAAGGCUUCUGGGUAUUACAUUGGCUUUAAAAAUAUUUCCUUGGUCCUUAGAAAUACAAAAUACUAAUUUUCAAAAGAUAGACGAUGAUAAGGAAAGCAUUUCUGACAAUCAUGUUCAUAAUAGAAGAAGUUAGUCUACAUUUACAGAUCAUUAAACAGUUUUCUUUGGCAGGAAACUUUAUAAAUAUCAUCCAUUAUUCCUUCAGUGAGGCCAUUUUCCCUUUUGAUAAUAUCAGGUAACUGGUCACUCAUUAACUACUUUAAGAUAAUAAGAAAACAUCACAGAUAUAAAAUAUUUAAGUGUAGCACAUAUUCUUUCUGAAAAUUAAGUUCCAAGUGUAUUGAUUCAUUGAUAGUAGAGAAGAUAUUUUACACAGGUUUUUCUAACAGCGUUUUUACAUAUUGUAAUUUCAACAAUAUGAUCACCAAUGAGGGUAUGUCUACCUUUAUUCCACAUAAAAUUUUAUCACUGAAGCACACUAAAAAAAACCACACUGGAAACUGAAUAUUAUACAUUGUGUUUUCCACAAAAUGAGUAACAUAUGGUGCAUAUACUUGUGUGUCUUUUGGGCUCAAAAUGGCAAUUCUUAAGCGAUUACAUUCAUCAGCAUGAAAGACUCAAAACUGAAAAAUUCACUUAAGUAUCCAAAUAUCUGACUGAUAUGCCAUCACUCAGAAAUUUCAAAGUGCUGCGUGUUUAUUCUAAAAAAUAGCUUCAGAUGUAUGAGAAAUAUUCCAGGUAAGCUGGAGAAAUAUUAGGGUUGCUUGCUGCAUUUUCCAAGGUAAGAUCUCUUAGUUGUGCCUCUCUUCCUUCUACUCUCCUCCUCCCUUCCUUUGAAGAUUAUUUGUGAUGUAUCCUUCAAACAUGUUAUAUGGUAUGCACAGGAUGUCUUUUCCUUUUUGACCCAGUGUAGGGAAUUCUUGAUUACUAUUUGGGGAGAUGAGGUUUCUUUUUGUUGUUGUUGUCAUCAAUGCAUUAGUACAGAGGUGAGGUUUCUGACAUGAUGUCGUGCCACCCUUUUUUUUAUGGAUUGCCCCUUGCUCUGGAUCAGAAUGAGUUCAAUUCACCACCACAGUUUUCCAUUAACCUUAUCCAGUGGGGAAAAUCUUCCAUCAGUAACCAUCAAGAACGAGACAGAAGUCCAAGAGAAGUCUUCCUUCUCACCUGCUCCUCAACUCUGUCAGUGGCACAGAGCACUUUUGUGCAUAUAUACAGUAUGUACAGCAUGCUGGUCCCUUCCCUUCUCUGUGUUGAGAAAGCCACAUGUCCUCUGGUGUGAGCUUGAUACUGUCUACAAAUAUGGAUCAGUGGAACUCAGGGAAGUCCUGUUGUAAUAACAGUUGUCCCAGCAAUGAUUGUUAUUAUGGCUUUAUUGGAAUAGUGUUGAGUUGCACCACUGACCUAUGAAUAGUACUGAAAGGCAAAGCUGUAGAGGUACUAAAAGAUAAUUAUCCACUACCUUCUAAUGUCAGGGCCUUUAAUAUAUUUAUUAGUAUAUGUUUGUGAAACAUAAUAAUUACACCUAUCUUUGGGAACUGGUACAUAUACUAAUGCAUCUUGAUCACUUUUACUCACCCUUCCCCUCUUAACCUUCCUUCUUCCUCCUUCCCCUGAUCUGCUUCCCUUUAUUCCCUUCCCAUCUCCAUAGAGGCUACCUCCCUAUUUCUUACCACCUCUCUUUAAUUUUGCUGUAUUUACACUUUGGGUUCCUCUUAUGAGUGAACCCAUGUGAUACUUAACCUUCUGCAUCUAUUUUAGUUAGAAUUAUGGUCUCAAGAUCCAUCCAUUUAUCUACAAAUAAUUCAAAUGUAUCCUUCUUUAUAGCUGAGUGGAUAUAUAUAGCUAUAUAUCCACUGUGUAUAAAUACCACAUUUUCUUUAUCCAUUCAUCUCUUGAUGGGCCUAUUGGCUGCUUCCACAAUUUAGAUAUCAUGAAUUGUGCAGAUGUAAACAUGGAUAUGUAUGUUCAUUGUAAUAUGAUCACUUUAGCUCUUUUGGGAAGAUACCCAGAAGAAUAGCUAGGUCAAAUGUAAUUUCUCUUUUUAGUUAUUUGAGGAAUCUCCAUACUGAUUCCCACGGUCCUGAUACUAGUUUACAUUCUCACCAACAAUGUAGAAGGGUUCUUUUUCCCCGAAUCCUCUCAGCAUUUGUUGUUUCCUGAGUUCUUAGUAAUAGCCAUUCUAAGUGGAAUAAGAUUUGAUGUACUUCCUAAGUAAAGGUCUUUAGAGUGUGUCACUUUCCCCCCUGCUUUUUCUGUGAUAAAUUUUAAAUCAAGGUUUCAAGAUUUCAGUAUCUGAGCCAAUAGCACAAAGCAUGUGGACGAAGAAAAGCCAUUGUUGGGACUUGGCCUUGGAAACCCCUGUGACUACGGAGGUCAGGAAGAAGGUAACAGCUCUUGAUCUCUUUGAUGGAUCUGAGUGAAUUCCUGUCAUUCUGACCCAGUCUCUUCCCCUGCAAGGAUGAAACUGGCCUGAAAGGUGUAAUCAUUCUAGGAAGUAGCUUCUUAGCAAGGCUUUGACAUUGAGCAAAAUUUAGGAUGUGCAAUGGAGAUGUAGAUUAUGGUGGACACUGGCGGUGUGGGAGUUGGUGGAGCUACCUUGAGGUGGGACACGGUAGGAUCAGAGAAGUGGGAAAAGAUCCAAUGAGAUGAUGUGCUCAGCCACAGCAAAUGGAUGCCCAAACACACGCUCAAGCUUUGAUCACCGACAGGAGAACACAGAUUUUAGAGGAGCAGUUAGAACAAAAGAUGUCUAUCACUAAUUCUCAUCCCCCCAUCCCAGAAAAGAGCAG
rnacentral:lncRNA from 1 species